UUGUAAAAUUGCCUAAUCUCG
rnacentral:siRNA from 1 species